AUUGAACGCUGGCGGCAUGCUUUACACAUGCAAGUCGAACGGUAACAGGUUAAGCUGACGAGUGGCGAACGGGUGAGUAAUGCAUCGGAACGUGCCCGGUCGUGGGGGAUAACGCAGCGAAAGCUGCGCUAAUACCGCAUACGAUCUAAGGAUGAAAGCGGGGGACCGUAAGGCCUCGCGCGAUCGGAGCGGCCGAUGUCAGAUUAGGCAGUUGGUGGGGUAAAGGCUCACCAAGCCAAAGAUCUGUAGCUGGUCUGAGAGGACGACCAGCCACACUGGGACUGAGACACGGCCCAGACUCCUACGGGAGGCAGCAGUGGGGAAUUUUGGACAAUGGGCGAAAGCCUGAUCCAGCAAUGCCGCGUGCAGGAAGAAGGCCUUCGGGUUGUAAACUGCUUUUGUACGGAGCGUAAAGGUCUCCUCUAAUACAGGGGGCUCAUGACGGUACCGUAAGAAUAAGCACCGGCUAACUACGUGCCAGCCGCCGCCGUAA
rnacentral:rRNA from 1 species